rnacentral:rRNA from 1 species
AGCGAACGCUGGCGGCAGGCUUAACACAUGCAAGUCGAGCGGGCACUUCGGUGUCAGCGGCAGACGGGUGAGUAACACGUGGGAACGUACCCUUCGGUUCGGAAUAACGCUGGGAAGCUAGCGCUAAUACCGGAUACGCCCUUUUGGGGAAAGGUUUACUGCCGAAGGAUCGGCCCGCGUCUGAUUAGCUAGUUGGUGGGGUAAUGGCCUACCAAGGCGACGAUCAGUAGCUGGUCUGAGAGGAUGAUCAGCCACACUGGGACUGAGACACGGCCCAGACUCCUACGGGAGGCAGCAGUGGGGAAUAUUGGACAAUGGGCGCAAGCCUGAUCCAGCCAUGCCGCGUGAGUGAUGAAGGCCUUAGGGUUGUAAAGCUCUUUUGUCCGGGACGAUAAUGACGGUACCGGAAGAAUAAGCCCCGGCUAACUUCGUG